CCACGGCCCCUGGCGGAGCGAGAGGCGGGAAACGGCCGUCUCCGCCGCUGCCCUCCCGAGCCCUCUCCCGGUGCCGGGCGGGCUGGGCGCCGCAUCCCUCUGCGUCCCGCUGACCUGUCAGUUCACCUCACGGUUGGAGCCGGCGGGGGCUGAGCGGGGACUCUUCGGCUCCCCUUCCCCGCUCAGGUCCGGGAGCCCGCGUGUCGGGCCGUCAGUCGGUCCUCACGCCGCGCCGAGGGACAUGGCUUUCAUUUGGAGAAGUGGCUUGCUUUUCUGGUCCUGUCUAACUGCUGCUGCAGAAUUCCAGGAGGAGGCCUGCUUUCUCCCAGAAUGAUCACUGAGGUCCGCUUCAAUGGUCACCUCUGAGGGAAACUCAGGAACUCAGGGUUUGGAGAAGGGAGAAGGAGAGUUAUCUUCUAGUCCGUUAUCUUCUUGGAACAAGGAUAGGAUGUGGAUACAAGUCAGGCCUUUGGAGGGAAAUAGGCCUUGGUUCAAAGUCACCUCAUCAUGAUAUCUGUGUGACCUUAGCCCAUGAAGAAGGAAAGAAAGAAAGAACGAAAAACCCUGCACGGUCUCGCUUAAAUAUGGAAUCUAAAGAAGUCAAACAUAUAGAAGCUGCGUUGGAGAACCAUGGUUCACGGGUGCUGGGGGAUGGGGGAAAUGUUGGUCAAAGAGUGCAAAGUUGCAGUAAUGAAGGAUGACUGUCUCUAGAUCCCUAAUGUGGAGAUGGAAAUACGCUAAGAGAGUGGAGGGCAGGUGCUCUCAUCACUAAAAGCCCCCUAGGGCCCAGCUUGAGCCCUGAGCCCAACUCAGAGAAGGAGACACAUAAACAUUAUCUGGGGAAUCGCUGACUGGAUUUGAUUUCCAGCUCCUGCACGUACUUGAUUUUGACCUGAGGUAAGCUAUCUUUUACCACUCUGUGGUUCUGUGCUCUUACUGCUUUCAUUCAACAAAUCCUUCAGGGAGCCUGACUCUGCUAGGUACUGGGGAGAAAGUCGAUGAACUGAGAGGUUUGUGCCCUUCUGGACUUGGUCUUAUAAAAAGGGAAGAGAAAAACUGGUAAAUAGAGACAAUUUUCGAUGGUGAUGGAGUGAAACAGGGCAUGGUGACCAGAAGGGUCAGAGGUGCUAUCGGGAUAAGGUGGUAGGGGAGGGCCAUUCUGAGGAAGUGGUGCUGAGUAGAGACCCCAAGGCUGACGAGGAGUCAGCCUGGUGAGGAGCCCAGGGAAGGGGUGUCCUGGCCAGAGGGAAAAGUAGGUUUUUUAAAUCUGAAAACAAGGUGGGGGUGGAGGAGGGGGUCAGAAAACUAACCCCCACCUCCCAGAACUUUAAGGGGAAAUCAAUGGAAAGUUGAUUUGUGAAAUUAUCCAGUUCCCUGCAGGUGAAAGAGAUUAUGAACUUUUCUCAUGGAGCCUCAACACCAGUCCCCAGACCACCUAGAAAGUCAGGAAUACCCAACUCUUUGGGGGGUAAUGCAGAGCUAUUCUAGAGUCCGGUCUGGACGUGUUUUACCAGGCUGUGUGAGACAAGUAGAAAUGCUGCAAGUGUUUGAAAAUUCUGAUAUUGGCAUGACAUCUAAGCACAUAUGGUAUUUUAUAAUUUUUUUCCCAUUUCAUUUUUCUGUUAUCACCCAGUGGCCCUUCCCCUCCAGGUAGAUUGAGAAGCAUUGGCAUAGAAGCUAUAGAAUCAGAAAAAUCUGGGAUUUAAUGAGGCUCAAUCUCUUUCUACCUGGUUGACCUUAAUUACAUUGUAAAAUCUCCCUGUGUCUUGGUGCCUUCAUCAAUAAAAUGGACAUAACCCAUCUUCUUUAUCCAUUCAUCUGUCGAGUACAUC